rnacentral:rRNA from 1 species
AUUGAACGCUAGCGGGAUGCUUUACACAUGCAAGUCGAACGAGUGGCGGACGGGUGAGUAAUAUAUCGGAACGUGCCCAGUAGCGGGGGAUAACUACUCGAAAAGGUGGCUAAUACCGCAUACUAUCGUAUGGGCCGAUAUGGGGUUAGCUAGUGGGUGGGGUAAAGGCUCACCAAGGCAACGAUCCGUAGCUGGGUUGAGAGGACGACCAGCCACACUGGGACUGAGACACGGCCCAGACUCCUACGGGAGGCAGCAGUGGGGAAUUUUGGACAAUGGGGGAAACCCUGAUCCAGCCAUCCCGCGUGUAUGAGAAGGCCUUCGGGUUGUAAAGUACUUUUGGCAGAGAAGCGGUAUCUGCAGAAUAAGCACCGGCUAACUACGUGCCAGCAGCCGCGGUAAUUC